UUAAAUUGAAGAGUUUGAUCAUGGCUCAGAUUGAACGCUGGCGGCAGGCCUAACACAUGCAAGUCGAACGGUAACAGGAAGCAGCUUGCUGCUUCGCUGACGAGUGGCGGACGGGUGAGUAAUGUCUGGGAAACUGCCUGAUGGAGGGGGAUAACUACUGGAAACGGUAGCUAAUACCGCAUAACGUCGCAAGACCAAAGAGGGGGACCUUCGGGCCUCUUGCCAUCGGAUGUGCCCAGAUGGGAUUAGCUAGUAGGUGGGG
rnacentral:rRNA from 1 species